GUCCCGGCGACCACCCCCGCGCCCAAACGCGCCAAGACGACGCACGCCCACCCACCUAAACACGGCACGCCCGGCCUCGCCGACGCCGCGGACAUCCUCCUCGACCUCGCCAGCAACGAAAACUCCCCAGCCGCAUCUGGCGAACACGAGGGCGGCAUGGUACCCGCGUCGCCGCUCGGGUCGCCGAUUCGACGAAGGCGAACCUCCGCUACCGACUCGGACAACGAGGCGCAGCAGCAGCAGCAGCACACGAACCGGCUGUACCAGCCCACGGCGACGCGGGUUCGAUUCCUCGACGAGCCGGAGAGGCCCGACGUCCACG
rnacentral:lncRNA from 1 species